rnacentral:rRNA from 1 species
UAGGGAAUCUUCGGCAAUGGACGAAAGUCUGACCGAGCAACGCCGCGUGAGUGAAGAAGGUUUUCGGAUCGUAAAACUCUGUUGGUGGAGAAGAACGUUGGUGAGAGUGGAAAGCUCAUCAAGUGACGGUAACUACCCAGAAAGGGACGGCUAACUACGUGCCCG